AGCGAACGCUGGCGGCAGGCCUAACACAUGCAAGUCGAACGGGCACCUUCGGGUGUCAGUGGCAGACGGGUGAGUAACACGUGGGAACGUGCCCUUUGGUUCGGAACAACUCCGGGAAACUGGAGCUAAUACCGGAUAAGCCCUUCGGGGGAAAGAUUUAUCGCCAAAGGAUCGGCCCGCGUCUGAUUAGCUUGUUGGUGAGGUAAUGGCUCACCAAGGCGACGAUCAGUAGCUGGUCUGGAGAGGAUGAUCAGCCACACUGGGACUGAGACACGGCCCAGACUCCUACGGGAGGCAGCAGUGGGGAAUAUUGGACAAUGGGCGCAANCCUGAUCCAGCCAUGCCGCGUAGAGUGAUG
rnacentral:rRNA from 1 species